CAUCACACAAGACAAAACAACAACAAUGAACAACAUCAUCAUCUUCAUCUGGACCAUUGCAGCUUUUAUUCAAGAGUCCAGAGGAGUCACUUUGACUCAACCCGAAGUUAAAACUGUCCAGCAGGGUCAAACAGCUACAAUAGAGUGCCAGAUUGACACUGCUAUACGCUACAAUCACUUAUACUGGUAUCAGCAGAAACCUGGAGAAGCUCCUAAACUCCUGAUAUAUUAUAUAAACACCCUUCAGUCAGGAACUCCAUCUAGAUUCAGUGGCAGUGGAACAAGAGAUACUGGAAGAGAUUUCACUCUGACCAUCAGUGGAGUCCAGACUGAAGAUAGAGGAGAUUAUUACUGUCAGAGUUACCACUACAUCAACAGUAAAUAUGUGUUCACACAGUGA